GAGUUUGAUCCUGGCUCAGAUUGAACGCUGGCGGCAUGCCUUACACAUGCAAGUCGAACGGCAGCACGGGCGCUUGCACCUGGUGGCGAGUGGCGAACGGGUGAGUAAUACAUCGGAACAUGUCCUGUAGUGGGGGAUAGCCCGGCGAAGGCCGGAUUAAUACCGCAUACGAUCUACGGAUGAAAGCGGGGGACCUUCGGGCCUCGCGCUAUAGGGUUGGCCGAUGGCUGAUUAGCUAGUUGGUGGGGUAAAGGCCUACCAAGGCGACGAUCAGUAGCUGGUCUGAGAGGACGACCAGCCACACUGGGACUGAGACACGGCCCAGACUCCUACGGGAGGCAGCAGUGGGGAAUUUUGGACAAUGGGCGAAAGCCUGAUCCAGCAAUGCCGCGUGUGUGAAGAAGGCCUUCGGGUUGUAAAGCACUUUUGUCCGGAAAGAAAUCCUUGGCUCUAAUACAGUCGGGGGAUGACGGUACCGGAAGAAUAAGCACCGGCUAACUACGUGCCAGCAGCCGCGGUAAUACGUAGGGCGCGAGCGUUAAUCGGAAUUACUGGGCGUAAAGCGUGCGCAGGCGGUUUGCUAAGACCGAUGUGAAAUCCCCGGGCUCAACCUGGGAACUGCAUUGGUGACUGGCAGGCUAGAGUAUGGCAGAGGGGGGUAGAAUUCCACGUGUAGCAGUGAAAUGCGUAGAGAUGUGGAGGAAUACCGAUGGCGAAGGCAGCCCCCUGGGCCAAUACUGACGCUCAUGCACGAAAGCGUGGGGAGCAAACAGGAUUAGAUACCCUGGUAGUCCACGCCCUAAACGAUGUCAACUAGUUGUUGGGGGAUUCAUUUCNUUAGUAACGUAGCUAACGCGUGAAGUUGACCGCCUGGGGAGUACGGUCGCAAGAUUAAAACUCAAAGGAAUUGACGGGGACCCGCACAAGCGGUGGAUGAUGUGGAUUAAUUCGAUGCAACGCGAAAAACCUUACCUACCCUUGACAUGGUCGGAAUCCUGCUGAGAGGUGGGAGUGCUCGAAAGAGAACCGGCGCACAGGUGCUGCAUGGCUGUCGUCAGCUCGUGUCGUGAGAUGUUGGGUUAAGUCCCGCAACGAGCGCAACCCUUGUCCUUAGUUGCUACGCAAGAGCACUCUAAGGAGACUGCCGGUGACAAACCGGAGGAAGGUGGGGAUGACGUCAAGUCCUCAUGGCCCUUAUGGGUAGGGCUUCACACGUCAUACAAUGGUCGGAACAGAGGGUUGCCAACCCGCGAGGGGGAGCUAAUCCCAGAAAACCGAUCGUAGUCCGGAUUGCACUCUGCAACUCGAGUGCAUGAAGCUGGAAUCGCUAGUAAUCGCGGAUCAGCAUGCCGCGGUGAAUUCGUUCCCGGGUCUUGUACACACCGCCCGUCACACCAUGGGAGUGGGUUUUACCAGAAGUGGCUAGUCUAACCGCAAGGAGGACGGUCACCACGGUAGGAUUCAUGACUGGGGUGAAGUCGUAACAAGGUA
rnacentral:rRNA from 1 species